AUUGAACGCUGGCGGCAUGCCUUACACAUGCAAGUCGAACGGUAACAGGUCUUCGGAUGCUGACGAGUGGCGAACGGGUGAGUAAUAUAUCGGAACGUGCCCAGUCGUGGGGGAUAACGCAGCGAAAGCUGUGCUAAUACCGCAUACGAUCUAUGGAUGAAAGCGGGGGAUCGCAAGACCUCGCGCGAUUGGAGCGGCCGAUAUCAGAUUAGGUAGUUGGUGGGGUAAAGGCCCACCAAGCCAACGAUCUGUAGCUGGUCUGAGAGGACGACCAGCCACACUGGAACUGAGACACGGUCCAGACUCCUACGGGAGGCAGCAGUGGGGAAUUUUGGACAAUGGGCGCAAGCCUGAUCCAGCAAUGCCGCGUGCAGGAUGAAGGCCUUCGGGUUGUAAACUGCUUUGUACGGAACGAAAAGGCUCUGGUAAUACCUGGGGCUCAUGACGGUACCGUAAGAAUAAGCACCGGCUAACUACGUGCC
rnacentral:rRNA from 1 species